UACAGAGGGGGCAAGCGUUGUUCGGAAUUACUGGGCGUAAAGGGCGCGUAGGCGGCCUUCUAAGUCGAACGUGAAAUCCCCGGGCUCAACCCGGGAACUGCGUCCGAUACUGGGAGGCUUGAAUCCGGGAGAGGGAUGUGGAAUUCCAGGUGUAGCGGUGAAAUUCGUAGAUAUUGGGAAGAACACCAGUGGCGAAGGCGGCUCACUGGCCCGUAACUGACGCUGAGGUGCGAAAGCGUGGGGAGCAAACAGG
rnacentral:rRNA from 1 species